rnacentral:tRNA from 1 species
AUAGCUCAGUUGGUAGAGCGUUGGCUUCCCAAGCCGAAGGUCGCGGGUUCGAGUCCCGUUUGCC